rnacentral:rRNA from 1 species
UACGGAGGGUGCAAGCGUUAAUCGGAAUUACUGGGCGUAAAGCGCGCUUAGGCGGCUGGAUAAGUCGAUUGUGAAAGCCCCGGGCUCAACCUGGGAAUUGCAGUCGAGACUGUUCGGCUAGAGUGUGGGAGAGGGUGGUGGAAUUCCCGGUGUAGCGGUGAAAUGCGUAGAUAUCGGGAGGAACAUCAGUGGCGAAGGCGACCACCGGGCCCAACACUGACGCUGAGGUGCGAAAGCGUGGGUAGCAAACAGG